CGGGGCUCAGUCCCCCGCUUGCCCUGCAAGGCUCACUCUGCGCGCUCAACUCCACCUUCUGGCCGGACAAGGGGUUGUUCCGUGGGGAAACUGAGUUCGCAUUUCCCACGCCCGUCGGGGGGUUGGGGAGGAGGACGCGGAAGGGGCGGCCGAGUUGCGGGAAGAGGCGGGGUCCGCCACGGACUGAAGCGAGUUCACCUAGAAGGUGUCCCCGCCGGGCAGGACAUCCACGGGUGUUCGCAACACGCCCCUCAGUCUGGCGGGAGGGGUUGGGUCCUAGGGAGCUGUCCAAUCAGGACGGGCAGAGGCAGCGCCUAGACAAGGACGCCCAGUCAAUAUCCGGGGAACGGACCGGAAAACUGUCCAAUCAGGGUGGCUGACGUUAGCAGCACUGUCCAAUCAGAGGCGUGGCUUCCCGAGCUCUGUCCAAUCAGGCCUCCGGGACGGGACGUGUCUGUCGUCCCGCCGCGAGUGCCUCCCCUGCCCCUAGCGGUCCCCGGCGUCCUGAUUCCAGUCGCGGUCACCUGCGCCGGUCGCGGAGAAGUCGCCCCGGGACAUGGACUCAGUGGUCUUUGAGGACGUGGCUGUGGACUUCACCCUGGAGGAGUGGGCUUUGCUGGAUUCUGCUCAGAGGGACCUCUACAGAGAUGUGAUGCUGGAAACCUUCUGGAACCUGGCCUCAGUAGAUGAUGAAACUCGGUUUAAGGCCAGUGGGUUAGUUUCUCAGCAGCAUAUUUAUGGAGAAGAAAUACCCAAGGAAUCUGAAAUAGCAGAGUUCACCAGAAAUGUUUCCUGGGCCUCUAUUUUGGGAAAAACUUGGGACGAUCUUAGCGUUGAAGAUCAGCAUGCAAACCAGGGGAGAAAUCGCAGUAGAAGUCACGUGUUGGAGAGAGUCUGCCUAAGUCACGGUCAGUGUGGAGAAGGCUUCCGCCAGAUUCCGGAUCUGCAUCCAUACCAGAACAUUCCUCCUGGAGUGAACCGGUACGAAUACAACGCAUACGGAAAAGUCUUCAUGCGUCACCACACAUCCCUCAGGAGUCCCGUCACGGUUCACACUGGACGCAAACCGCAUCAGUGCCAGGAAUGCGGGCAGGCCUACAGUUGCCGUUCACACCUAAGAAUGCACGUGAGAACCCACAAUGGAGAGAGACCCUACGUGUGUAAAUCAUGCGGGAAAACCUUCCCUCGUACGUCUUCCCUCAAUCGGCAUGUACGGAUCCACACUGCUGAGAAAACCUACAAAUGUAAGCAAUGUGGGAAAGCCUUCAUUGACCUCUCCAGUCUUACUAGUCAUCUCAGAAGUCACACUGGCGAGAAGCCAUAUAAAUGUAAGGAAUGCGGGAAAGCUUUUAGUUACUCCUCAACGUUUCGAAGACACACAAUAACACACACUGGAGAGAAGCCGUAUAAAUGUAAGGAAUGUGGGGAAGCCUUUAGCUAUUCCUCCACUUUUCGAAGACAUAGGAUUUCACACACUGGAGAGAAGCCACAUAAAUGUAAAGAGUGCGGGGAAGCCUUCAGUUAUGCUUCGGCUUUUCGAAGACACAUGAUCACGCAUACUGGACAGAAACCCUAUGAAUGCAAACAGUGUGGGAAAACCUUCAUUUAUCUCCAGUCCUUUCGAAGACACGAAAGGAUUCACACGGGGGAGAAACCCUACGAAUGCAAACAGUGUGGGAAAACCUUUAUUUAUCCCCAGUCCUUUCGAAGACAUGAACGCACUCAUGGUGGAGAGAAGCCCUAUGAAUGUGACCAGUGCGGGAAAGCGUUCAGUCAUCCCUCAUCCUUCCGCGGACACAUGAGAGUGCACACGGGAGAGAAACCGUAUGAGUGCAAGCAGUGUGGGAAAACUUUUAAUUGGCCCAUAUCUUUACGAAAACAUAUGAGAACACACACUAGGGAGAAACCCUAUGAAUGUAAGCAGUGUGGGAAAGCCUUCAGUUUGUCCGCCUGCUUUCGGGAACACGUGAGAAUGCACCCCGAAGACAAAUGCUAUGAAUGCAAGCUGUGUGGGAAAGCGUUCUAUUGCCACAUAUCCUUACAGAAACAUAUGAGAAGGCACACCGCAGAGAAACUCUAUGAGUGCACGCAGUGUGGGAAAGCCUUCAGCUGGCCUGAACUUUUGCAACAACACGUGAGAACACACACCGUAGAGAAGCCCUACGAAUGUAAGGAAUGUGGGAAAGUCUUCAAAUGGCCGUCAUCUUUACCAAUACACAUGCGACUGCACACCGGAGAGAAGCCUUACAAAUGUAAGCAUUGUGGGAAAGCAUUUAAUUGCUCUUCAUCCUUAAGACGACAUGUGAGAAUACACACCACAGAAAAACACUACAAGUGCCGUGUGGGACACCCUCCUGCAAGUGAAUUCAGGUGCCGUGCUUCAGAACAGCCCCACCAGGAACGAGAGCAGACCAAAGCUGCCGUUGUGAGUUCCUGAUCCUGAAAGGGCACAGGUAGGGGUUUGUCUGUAGUUCCUUUGCAAGCACACAUGCAGGAAAAGUCAUUCUCUAACUACUCUUAGCUAUUCUACAUGAAUUUUAACAUGUAGGUUUUUUUUCCUUACAAUUAGUAAAUAAAACUUUACUCUUACGUUUUUUGGACUCAUGGAUGAUUUGAAGUAUAUUAUAAUAUGGAAGUAGGUUCAGGUUUAAUUUCUUAAAUUGUAACUGACUUAGUGUGGCAGAUACUGGGUCUCACUUCCCUGUUCUAUUUCCCACCUUUCUUCCUGGGAGUGUUUGUGUUGUUUGCCCAGAGGAGCCUUAUUCCAUCUUCUUUCUAAGAAGCAGUUGGCAGAAUUUUGUAAUUAUGCAAACUUGUUUAAAGAGUGUAGUCUCAAAUGAAUUGGUUUGUUUUUUUUUUUUUGAGACAGAGUUUCGCUCUUGUUACCCAGGCUGGAGUGCAAUGGCGCGAUCUCGGCUCACCGCAACCUCCGCCUCCUGGGUUCAGGCAAUUCUCCUGCCUCAGCCUCCCGAGUAGCUGGGAUUACAGGCACGCGCCACCAUGCCCAGCUAAUUUUUUGUACUUUUAGUAGAGACGGGGUUUCACCAUGUUGGCCACGAUGGUCUUGAUCUCUUGACCUCGUGAUCCACCUGUCUUGGCCUCCCAAAGUGCUGGGAUUACAGGCUUCAGCCACGACGCCCAGCCUGACCCUAUUGCAUUUUUAAGGGUGCUGGCCCAGUCCUAUGUGAAACAAAAUACCUUCCUCAGAUACCAUAAUUAGGAAGAUUUCUACUACUCAGCGCUAAAUGCAAUUUCCUGAUACGGGUUAAAUUAUUACAUUUGAUUAUGUGUCAUUAAGGUGGAUUUUGUUUCAAGGAAAACAUUCUGUAGAUAUUUCUUAGAAAUAUCCUAUUUAGUCAGGCACAGUGGCUCACGCCUGUAAUCCCAGCACUUUGGGAGGCUGAAGUGGGCAGAUCACUUGAAGUCAGGAGUUCGAGACCAGCGCGGUCAACAUGGUAAAAUUAGCUAGGCCUGGUGGUGAGUGCCUGUAAUCCCAGCUACUUGGAAGGCUGAGGCAGGAGAAUCGCUUGAACCCGGGAGGCAGAGUUUACAGUGAGCCGAGAUCACACUGUUGCACUCCAGCCUGGGUGACAGAGAAAGACUCCAUUUUGAAAGCAAAAAAAUAAAAAGAAGUAUCCUAUGUACUGUGCUUUGAAAUUAGUGGCCUAGACUAAAGUAUAGGGUCUUUGUUGUCAUAUAAAUGUUAUUUUAAAUUGCUAUAUACUUAACAACAUUUGACAUUAAAAUGAUUUUUUUCUUUUUUUGAGAUACAGUCUCAUUCUGUUGCCCAGGCUGGAGUGCAGUGGCAUGACCUCGGCUCACUGCAUCCUUCAUGUCUCAAGUUCAAGUGAUUCUCCUGCCUCAGCCUCCCCAGUAGCUGGGAUUACAGGCACGCACCACCACACCCAGCUAAUUUUUGUAUUUUUGGUAGAGACGGGGUUUCGCCAUGUUGGCCAGGCUGGUCUUCAACUCCUGACCUUAGGUGAUCUUCCCACCUUGGCCUCCCAAAGUGCUGGGAUUACAGGCAUGAGCCACUGUGCCCGGCCUAAAAUGAUUUCUUGUUUGUGGUUAAUAACAAUUAAAAAGCAUUGGCCGGGCGCGGUGGCUCACGCCUGUAAUCCGAGCACUUUGGGAGGCCGAGGCGGGUGGAUCACAUCAAGAGAUCAAGACCAUCCUGGUCAACAUGGUGAAACCCCGUCUCUACUAAAAAUACAAAAAUUAGCUGGGCGUGGUGACGCAUGCCUGUAAUCCCACCUACUCGGGAGACUGAGGCAGGAGAAUUGCCUGAACCCAGGAGGCGGAGGUUGCGGUGAGCCGAGAUCGCGCCAUUGCACUCCAGCCUGGGUAACAAGAGCGAAACUCCGUCUCUAAAAACAAAAACAAACAAUUAAAAAGCAUAAAAUCGCCUUAUGAGGUUUUGUCAAUGCCCUCUACCCAGAAACCACCAGAAUCGCACUGGUAGUCAAAAGAAAAUUCGCUGAAUUGAAAUUUGAACACAUGGUCAAGAAAGGGCUGUGGCUUUUAUCAGUCAGAGGGCGUUUUAAAAGGGUUUACUGUCAGAUUUGGUCUUACGUUCUGUGAUUUGGGUUAGUGUUCAAGGGAGCCAGGAUUUGGUCGGGAUUGGAUGAUCUCAGGUCAUGAAUAUAAUUCUCUGGGAACCCCCAAAGUUCUCAUCUACGAAGCAGAAGUUAAGUGGAGCUGAAAACUAAUCAGUAAGACAGCGCCAGCCAGCCACACUGGGGAGACGAAGGGAAUGUUUGGUCAUUUCUGUGGUUUAGAGGUGAGCUCCAAAACCAAAGAAGACGUAUUUGACAUCCUCAAUUGAGCAAAUUUUUCACGUGUUUUAUAGGGCCAAGGAGGCAGAAGCUUUUAGUUUUUCAUUUUUUUGUUUUUUUUUUUUGAGACGGGAGUUUUGCUGUUGGUACCGAGACUGGAGUGCAAUGGCGCGAUCUCGGCUCACCGCAACCUCCGCUUCCUGGGUUCAGGCAAUUCUCCUGCCUCAGCCUCCCGAGUAGCUGGGAUUACAGGCACGCGCCACUGUGCCCAGCUAAUUUUUUGUAUUUUUAGUAGAGACGGGGGUUUCACCAUGUUGACCAGGAUGGUCUCGAUCUCUUGACCUCGUGAUCCACCCGCCUCGGCCUCCCAAAGUGCUGGGAUUACAGGCGUGAGCCACCACGCCCGGCCACUUUUAGUUUGAAUGAGCCAGAAAGUCCCACAAUCCUAUUUAAGUUUUCCUAGGUAUCAUUUCAACCCCUGAACUUCCAGAAUGGACUAGGGAAGAGUUGUCUAAAAGGGCAAACAAUAUUCAGUAAUCUCCAUUACUUCGCAUGUUAACGUGUUUUCAUAGCGCUCCGUACAUUAAUGUGGUUUCACAGUCAGCUGUAUCUCUAACGCCCCCUUACCCAUCAUUCCCUCUCAGCUGAAGAAGUUAAGCACAGGGAACACAGAGGCUUGUACAUUGACGUCGCUCAUGAUGACGAAAUCAAGUUUGAAGGCUUACUCUGUGCUUAAAAUUGUCGUUUUUUAACUUAAAUUUAGAACACUAGAAAGUAGGAAUAAUUACUCAGUUUUACAAAUAGGGUAUGAAGUUUUACAAAAAGACUCCUACGGCUCUAUGGUAUUCCUUUUAUAAGACAUGGAGGCUGGGCGUGGUGACUCACGCCUGUAAUCCCAGCACCUUGGGAGGCAGAGGCGGGCGGAUCACGAGGUCAAGAGAUCGAGACCAUCCUUGCCAUGAUGAAACCCCAUCUCUACUAAAAAUACAAAAAUUAGCCGGGUGUGGUGGCUCAUGCCUGUAGUCCCAGCUACUCGGGAGGCUGAGGCUGAGGUGGAAGAAUCACUUGAACCCAGGAGGUGGAGGUUACAGUGAGCCGAGAUUGCACCACUGCACUCCAGCCUGGCAACAGAGCAAGACUCCAUCUCAAAAAAACAAAAAAAAAAGACAUGGAAAAGGCAAAGAUAAACAAACACAUCGCUGGUUAGAAGUGGGGGGUUGGGCCAGGCGCAGCAGCUCACGCCUGGAAUCCCAGCUCUUAGGGAUGCAGAGGUGGGAGGUUACCUGGAGCCCAGGAGUUUGAGACCUGCCUGGGCAAUAGAGUGAGACCCCAUUCUCAACAAAAAGGAAAAAGAAGAGGGGGGUUUGAGUACAAAGGGGCGUAAGUGUGUUCUCAGGAUUGUAGUGGUGUGAACAAGCAUUUAUGAAAACCCAUAAGGCUGCUCUUAAAAUAGCACAUUUUGCUGUAUGUCGAUUUUAAAGUUAACAAUAAAAAUGCUUUGAGUAUGUUAAGGAACUCAAGACCAGGUCCGGUGGCACAUGCCUAUCAUCCCAUCACUUUGGGAGGCUGAGGCGGGAGGAUCGCUUGUGACGAGGUCGUCGAGGCUGCAGUGAAACUGUGAUCGCGCACUGCACUCUACCCUGGGCGACAGAGCAAGACCCUGUCUGGAAAGAAAAAAAAAGGAAUUCAAAACUGUCCUGAAGCUUGAUAUGUAAGUCUGCAAGAAGACUUUUCCGUAGCUGGGUGCAGUGACUCAUGCCUGUAAUCUCAACACUUUGGGAGACUGAGGCAAGAGGAUCACUUGAGGUUAGGAGUUCGAGAUCAGUCUGUGCGACAAAGCGAGACCUCAAUUCUACGGAAAAAAAAAAAUAAAUGUGAGCCAGGCGUGGUGGUGCACGUCUGUGGUUCCAGCUACUUGGCAAGCUGAGGCGGGAGGAUCACUUGAGACCUGAGGGAACCAUGAUUGUGCCACCACACUCCAACUUGGGCAGCAGAGCAAGACUGUCUCAAAAAAAAAAAAAAAAACCACAAAAACGUUUCCUCCACCAUCUUGGGACUCUCCUCUGAAGGAACGCAGGGCCUCGUCAGACCCUGUUUGAAGCAGUGUGAAGUUCUGAAAUAUACCAAGGGCCACACCUGACUUCAUGUCAUACCUACAACAGAAAAGGGAGGUCUUCCAGAAUCUGUGAGUUUACACCAGGUCCUUCCCGCCUGAUCUUUGGGAAUAUUGCGGUUCUGAAACACGGAACGGGAACCCCACACUUCUUCCCGGGAACGCCGCUGCCUGGGGGCGUCCUGAUCCUGUCUUCAGACAAGGGGCAUCCGCAUCUUGUCUUCCGGGGUUUUUCUUGCGGCCAUUUCCAGCUUCAGAGUUCCCGUCUCGAGUUCAGCUCUGUGUCUUCACGCUGGGAAACGUCUUUAUGGCUCCCCAAACUCCGCUUGCUGUCGGGAACACGUGGCAGCCCCACGUGGUGAGGUGAGGUGGAAGCCGUGGCAGAGCCCCUGCCGUGGAGACACGCGCCCGUCGGCCACAGCAGCUCCUGCUAGUCCAGGAAUCCACACGCCCCAGAGUGUCAACGUCUCCCAUGACAUCACAAAGACGCCCGGCUGGGACCCACCCACGGGCGGGCAAACAGGCACUGCUCCCCACCGUCUCACUGUCACGUGACGUGGCUUAUCUGCGCACUCAGGCUGUGACACCCCAGGAGGUGCCCACCGUGCCCGAAGCUCCCUACCCGCCUCCUCCCCACACCAGGAUGCGUCUUACUGACGCCCGCCAGAGCGCAUGCGCACUUCUCAGGCGCAGCCCCACCGCGCAAGGCCUCUCAGCCCAUUGGCCCCUCAGUCUCCAGAAGCCCCGCCCUGCAGGAGGCAACACGGGCUCGCGUCUGAAACAGCUGUGCUUUGGAGCUGCCUGGGAAUUUCUGCCUUCCACGCAGUGCGCAGGCGCACUCAGGCGAGGAGGUGGGCGACCGGAAGGAAGCGGAGACCGCAGGAGUGGUACCGGAAGUGACGGAAGCGCUCCUCUUUCCCCCCCUCCGCUUCCGGCGUGGCGGACCCCGGCUGUAGCGUGUCUGCGGCGGUGAGACAGCCUGCGCGUCAGAUGCCUCCAUCCUACAACGGCGGAUGUCCUGGAGCGCACACGACAGACCGGAAGGACCCUGAUUGUUCAAGGGAACAUCCACGGCAAGUAGGAGAUCUCACGUCGCUCUCUCUUCUCCUGAACUUUAACUCAGAACCAUAACCAGAAGGGCCUCUGGGAUGUGCCGUUUCUAACCUUACUAGGCCUGACGAUACCAAGUGGAAUAAGCUGUAUAUUGACUUUCCUCUUCGUGUCAAAGGUCUUUCUUCUGAAACGCAGUUUGUCCAAUUUCCCACCAAGAUCAAGGACAGUGAAAAAAGGUCAAACUGACCAGAAACCAA